rnacentral:rRNA from 1 species
AGCGAACGCUGGCGGCAGGCUUAACACAUGCAAGUCGAACGCCCCGCAAGGGUAGUGGCAGACGGGUGAGUAACACGUGGGAACGUACCCUUUGGUUCGGAAUAACUUGGGGAAACUCAAGCUAAUACCGGAUAAGCCCAUAUGGGGAAAGGUUUACUGCCGAAGGAUCGGCCCGCGUCUGAUUAGCUAGUUGGUGAGGUAAUGGCUCACCAAGGCGACGAUCAGUAGCUGGUCUGGGAGGAUGGUCAGCCACACUGGGACUGAGACACGGCCCAGACUCCUACGGGAGGCAGCAGUGGGGAAUAUUGGACAAUGGGGGCAACCCUGAUCCAGCCAUGCCGCGUGAGUGAUGAAGGCCUUAGGGUUGUAAAGCUCUUUUACCCGGGACGAUAAUGACUGUACCGGGAGAAUAAGCCCCGGCUAACUUCGUGCCAGCCGCCGCGGUAA